GGACGAACGCUGGCGGCGUGCUUAACACAUGCAAGUCGAACGGAAAGGCUCCAGCUUGCUGGAGUACUCGAGUGGCGAACGGGUGAGUAACACGUGGGUAAUCUGCCCUGCACUCUGGGAUAAGCCUGGGAAACUGGGUCUAAUACUGGAUAUGACCUUUCUCCUUAUGGGGUUUGGUGGAAAGUUUUUCGGUGUAGGAUGAGCCCGCGGCCUAUCAGCUUGUUGGUGGGGUGAUGGCCUACCAAGGCGACGACGGGUAGCCGGCCUGAGAGGGUGAUCGGCCACAUUGGGACUGAGAUACGGCCCAGACUCCUACGGGAGGCAGCAGUGGGGAAUAUUGCACAAUGGGCGGAAGCCUGAUGCAGCGACGCCGCGUGAGGGAUGACGGCCUUCGGGUUGUAAACCUCUUUCAGCAGGGACGAAGCGUAAGUGACGGUACCUGCAGAAGAAGCACCGGCUAACUACGUG
rnacentral:rRNA from 1 species